UAAAAAAAUAAAAUAUACAAAAGCUUCAAUGAUGCAGAAAAUAAAAAAAGAAGAACGUAAAAUGAGAGCUGCUGCGCUAUUUCAAAUAACUGAGACAACUAAAGCUGUUUUUAUGCUAAAAUAUAACAUGAAAGAUACCGAUAAUUAAUGAUGUUAAUAUUAAAAGUGAAUUAUUUGGAUAAAUGUCUUUAUCAGUGACAAAAGCCUUGGCAGUCUUUAUUGAACAAAAAAAGGUAUUCUUGGAUAACUAAAGGUUGAUCAGUGCACUUGUAAUCAAUAAUUGUCUCAGGUGUCAUUAAGUGUGGCUAAAACAUCUUAUGUGCCAAUGUUAUUCAUCCAACACAAUUAUUAAAACUGGGUCCAAAAAAAAAGACUAAAUUGCUUUGUCAAUCAAGCCAAAAUUAUUUUGGAGUAAAAUGAGUUGUAUUAUAUUAUUUAAAAAAAAUAAAAGUACAGUCUAAAAUUCACCUAAUAAUAAUUAGACUG